rnacentral:rRNA from 1 species
UACGUAGGGGGCUAGCGUUGUCCGGAAUCAUUGGGCGUAAAGCGCGUGUAGGCGGUCCGGUAAGUCCGCUGUGAAAGUCGGGGGCUCAACCCUCGAAUGCCGGUGGAUACUGUCGGGCUUGAGUACUGAAGAGGCGAGUGGAAUUCCUGGUGUAGCGGUGAAAUGCGCAGAUAUCAGGAGGAACACCGGUGGCGAAGGCGGGUCGCUGGGCAACAACUGACGCUGAGGAGCGAAAGCGUGGGGAGCGAACAGG